UGGGGAAUUUUGGACAAUGGGGGCAACCCUGAUCCAGCCAUGCCGCGUGAGUGAAGAAGGCCUUCGGGUUGUAAAGCUCUUUCGGACGGGACGAAACGGUUGCGGUGAAUAACCGCGACUAAUGACGGUACCGUAAUAAGAAGCACCGGCUAACUACGUGCCAGCAGCCGCGGUAAUACGUAGGGUGCGAGCGUUAAUCGGAAUUACUGGGCGUAAAGCGUGCGCAGGCGGUUCGCCAAGUCAGGUGUGA
rnacentral:rRNA from 1 species